GUGCUUGCUUUGGAAGCACAUAUAAUAAAAUUGGAACAAUACAAAUAAGAUUAGCAUGGCCUGUGGGCAAGGAUGACAUGCAAAUUCAUGAAGCAUUCCAUAUUUUU
ensembl:snRNA U6 U6 spliceosomal RNA